GAGUCUUUCCAUUUCUAGAGGUUAGCCAAGAUGAACUUAACGAAAUCAAUCAGUUUGUGGGACCCGUGGAAAAAUUCUUCAAUGAAGAAGUGGAUUCUCAGAAAAUUGACUGGGAGGGGAAAAUCCCAGAAGACACCCUGGAAAAGUUGAAAAGCCUGGGCUUCUUUGGAAUGCAGGUCCCGGAAGAGUAUGGUACCUUCUUUAUGUGCUUUAGAUUCAGCAGAGAA